CCUACGGGUGGCAGCAGUGAGGAAUAUUGGUCAAUGGACGAGAGUCUGAACCAGCCAAGUAGCGUGAAUGAUGACUGCCCUAUGGGUUGUAAACUUCUUUUAUAUGGGAAUAAAAUGUUCCACGUGUGGGAUUUUGUAUGUACCAUAUGAAUAAGGAUCGGCUAACUCCGUGCCAGCAGCCGCGGUAAUACGGAGGAUCCGAGCGUUAUCCGGAUUUAUUGGGUUUAAAGGGAGCGUAGGUGGAUUGGUAAGUCAGUUGUGAAAGUUUGCGGCUCAACCGUAAAAUUGCAGUUGAAACUGGCAGUCUUGAGUACAGUAGAGGUGAGCGGAAUUCGUGGUGUAGCGGUGAAAUGCGUAGAUAUCACGAAGAACUCCGAUUGCGAAGGCAGUUCACUGGACUGCAACUGACACUGAGGCUCGAAAGUGUGGGUAUCAAACAGGAUUAGAUACCCGUGUAGUC
rnacentral:rRNA from 1 species